rnacentral:rRNA from 1 species
AUUGAACGCUGGCGGUAUGCCUUACACAUGCAAGUCGAACGGUAGAGGGGCAACCCCUGAGAGUGGCGAACGGGUGAGUAAUACAUCGGAACGUGCCCAGUCGUGGGGGAUAACGUAGCGAAAGCUACGCUAAUACCGCAUACGACCUGAGGGUGAAAGCGGGGGAUCGCAAGACCUCGCGCGAUUGGAGCGGCCGAUGGCAGAUUAGGUAGUUGGUGGGGUAAAGGCCUACCAAGCCUGCGAUCUGUAGCUGGUCUGAGAGGACGACCAGCCACACUGGGACUGGGACACGGCCCAGACUCCUACGGGAGGCAGCAGUGGGGAAUUUCGGACAAUGGGCGCAAGCCUGAUCCAGCCAUACCGCGUGCGGGAAGAAGGCCUUCGGGUUGUAAACCGCUUUUGUCAGGGAAGAAAUCUUCUGGGCUAAUACCUCGGGAGGAUGACGGUACCUGAAGAAUAAGCACCGGCUAACUACGUGCCAGCCGCCGCCGUAAUAC